UGCUAUGAUGGUGUAAUUUGCGUCUGACUCUGAGGCCAGUGACAGAAUGCCUGCUGUCAUAUGCUGGCACAGAUGGUUGCUGAAGAUUGAGUCUGAGCA